AAUGGAACCCUGACCUCCUGGUUCCUAGGUGGAUGCUCAGCCCCGAGCCUCGCCGGCCGGGUGGGCUGCAUUUGCACACGGACUCGCAGACCCCAGCUGAGGGACAGGUAAUGGAGACGGAUUGUUUUCAGUCCGACUUCAGCCCCGUGAUCAGGGCCGACCCUGGGCAGCUUCGGCGGCAGCUGCGCGGCUCUGAGGCCCAUUCAGGCCGGGCCGGGCGGGCGCCUCGGCCAAGGGCGUGCAGUUCUCCUCCUCCUGACGGGCUGUUUGUCCCUCGUCUGCCAUCGGGAGGCGGUGCCAGGGCUCACGCGGGGUGUCCUCCCGGGACUCUGUGCUGGGAACGCGCUGUUCUUUUGGGGACGCGGCUUGGAGCACCUGCUCCUCGCAUCCUGCGAGUAAAGAGGCGCGAGAGAGACAUCUUUCUUCAUCAGAAGAGGGAGGGCGGAGGGGAGCCCCUGCCACUGGGAGGGAAACGCGAUUGGCUACGUUAACAAUCAAAAUUAAAAAGCUGUUACUGUCCCCCCGCCGCCCCCCAAGAGAAACGCGGGGCGGGGUGGGGUGGGGGGGAAAUGCCGCCCUUGAACGCCUGGCAUCGCUUCGAAGGCGGAUCCUGGCACCUUCCAGGACCGAGCCCGCCCGCGUGGCGCGAGGCCACCUUAUCGAGCUGGUGCCACGCUGCCAAGUGGAUGAUUAAUUGCCUCGCAGGAGGUGAUGGGCACGGAUGCAGGAUGCAGUUUUCAACCCCGGAGAGAACCCUUCAGCGUCACCAAACUUCGAAAGACGACGCCGCACACCCGGCGGGAAUGGAACACAGCCUCGAAUGUCAGCGGCAAUUUAAAAGUGAAAUUAAAAAA